AUUGAACGCUGGCGGCAGGCCUAACACAUGCAAGUCGAGCGGAUGAAGGGAGCUUGCUCCUGGAUUCAGCGGCGGACGGGUGAGUAAUGCCUAGGAAUCUGCCUGGUAGUGGGGGAUAACGUCCGGAAACGGGCGCUAAUACCGCAUACGUCCUGAGGGAGAAAGUGGGGGAUCUUCGGACCUCACGCUAUCAGAUGAGCCUAGGUCGGAUUAGCUAGUUGGUGGGGUAAAGGCCUACCAAGGCGACGAUCCGUAACUGGUCUGAGAGGAUGAUCAGUCACACUGGAACUGAGACACGGUCCAGACUCCUACGGGAGGCAGCAGUGGGGAAUAUUGGACAAUGGGCGAAAGCCUGAUCCAGCCAUGCCGCGUGUGUGAAGAAGGUCUUCGGAUUGUAAAGCACUUUAAGUUGGGAGGAAGGGCAGUAAGUUAAUACAUUGCUGUUUUGACGUUACCAACAGAAAAAGCACCGGCUAACUUCGUG
rnacentral:rRNA from 1 species